GACGAACGCUGGCGGCGUGCCUAAUACAUGCAAGUCGAGCGAAGUUUUUCUGGUGCUUGCACUAGAAACACUUAGCGGCGAACGGGUGAGUAACACGUAAAGAACCUGCCUCAUAGACUGGGACAACUAUUGGAAACGAUAGCUAAUACCGGAUAACAGUAUUUCUCGCAUGAGAGAUAUUUAAAAGUUGGUUAUGCUAACACUAUGAGAUGGCUUUGCGGUGCAUUAGCUAGUUGGUGGGGUAAAGGCCCACCAAGGCGACGAUGCAUAGCCGACCUGAGAGGGUGAUCGGCCACACUGGGACUGAGACAUGGCCCAGGCUCCUACGGGAGGCAGCAGUAGGGAAUCUUCCGCAAUGGGCGAAAGCCUGACGGAGCAACGCCGCGUGAGUGAAGAAGGAUUUCGGUUCGUAAAGCUCUGUUGUUAGGGAAGAAUGGAUAUGUAGUAACUAUACAUGUAAGAGACGGUACCUAACCAGAAAGCCACGGCUAACUACGUG
rnacentral:rRNA from 1 species